rnacentral:rRNA from 1 species
AGAGUUUGAUCCUGGCUCAGAUUGAACGCUGGCGGCAUGCCUUACACAUGCAAGUCGAACGGCAGCACGGGAGCAAUCCUGGUGGCGAGUGGCGAACGGGUGAGUAAUAUAUCGGAACGUGCCCAGUAGUGGGGGAUAACUGCUCGAAAGAGCAGCUAAUACCGCAUACGACCUGAGGGUGAAAGGGGGGGAUCGCAAGACCUCUCGCUAUUGGAGCGGCCGAUAUCAGAUUAGCUAGUUGGUGGGUAAAGGCCUACCAAGGCAACGAUCUGUAGUUGGUCUGAGAGGACGACCAGCCACACUGGGACUGAGACACGGCCCAGACUCCUACGGGAGGCAGCAGUGGGGAAUUUUGGACAAUGGGCGCAAGCCUGAUCCAGCAAUGCCGCGUGCAGGAAGAAGGCCUUCGGGUUGUAAACUGCUUUUGUCAGGGAAGAAAUCCUCUGGGUUAACACCUCGGGGGGAUGACGGUACCUGAAGAAUAAGCACCGGCUAACUACGUG